ensembl:lncRNA
CCACGUUCCAUCCCGACUCCAUUACCCGCACCCCCAGCACACCCAGGUGCUGAUUUGCUCCCCUCUGCCCAUGUCCCCCCCGGCAGUUCUGGGCAGUGCCAGGAAGCGAAACCCAACUGUUUGUGCAGAGCAAAUCCCACAGCAGACAUUCCUCCUCUGAUUGAAACCAGACCUCACGCGAUGCUGCCGGAGCUGCUGGCGGGGGCGCGUUAACCAGAGCAGAGCAUGCGCUCCCAAAAGGGGAUUGGGGUCUCUCUGCUUGGGGACAUGGGUUGGCCAAGUGGGUCAGGGUCCAAGUGAUGGGAUGAAGAUGUGUGGGGUGGAGGUGUAUGGGGUAGAGGUGUAUGGGAUGGAGGUGUAUGGGAUGGGGGUGUACGGGAUGAAGGUGGGUGGGAUGGAGGUAUAUGGGAUGGAGGUGUAUGGGAUGGAGGUGAAUGGGGUGAAGAUGUGCAGGAUGGAGGUGUAUGGGAUAGAAGUGUAUGGGAUGGAGGUGUAUGGGGUGAAGAUGUGCAGACCCAACCGGCAGCAGCCACAAGCAUAGAGGAGAGAGGAGGAUGAGGCAGGGAAACCCCCAUGGCCUUCUCAAACGCUGUGUCAUCUCCUCCCCGAAGCCAAACAAAAAAAUCGCUACCAGCCCACACAACCUAAAAUUCCAGCAUUAGGAAAUCCAGGGGAAAAGCAGGAAGCGGAGGUGCAGAC